CUGUCGAUGUGGAGCGACAUACUCUGUUGGCUAAACGGGCAAACACACCCGCACAGAGGAGUGCAAUUAUCACUAUGGCAAAGGAGUGGAGAACAGAGUGCCAGGUGGGGUGGAGACGCGCUACAGCUGCUGUCAGGGAGUCAUGGGCGCACCCGGAUGCCAACUUUUUAAGUUGCAUGUACACGAUUCCUUCAGCCUGGAGGGAUUCAAAUGUAAAGUCCCA